GACGAACGCUGGCGGCGUGCUUAACACAUGCAAGUCGAACGGAAAGGCCCUGCUUUUGUGGGGUGCUCGAGUGGCGAACGGGUGAGUAACACUUGAGUAACCUGCCCUUGACUUUGGGAUAACUUCAGGAAACUGGGGCUAAUACCGGAUAGGAGCUCCUGCUGCAUGGUGGGGGUUGGAAAGUUUCGGCGGUUGGGGAUGGACUCGCGGCUUAUCAGCUUGUUGGUGGGGUAGUGGCUUACCAAGGCUUUGACGGGUAGCCGGGCUGAGAGGGUGACCGGCCAAAUUGGGACUGAGAUACGGCCCAGACUCCAACGGGAGGCAGCGGUGGGGAAUAUUACACAAUGGGCGGAAGCCUGGUGCGGCAACGCCGCGUGCGGGAUGACAGGCUUCGGGUUGUAAACCGCUGUCGCCUGUGACGAGGCGUGAGUGACGGUAAUGGGUAAAGAAGCACCGGCUAACUACGUG
rnacentral:rRNA from 1 species